GAGCCGCCCCCGAACCGCGCACCCGACUUGCAGGCGUCCGCCUGGGCCUCCCUAAGACACGCCGCAUACAGGACAGGCCCCUGGGCCUUCCGCGGCGAUGGCGCUGCGCUAAUGACGUCAUAGGCCCGGACUCGCGUGAGUGCGCGUGCGUUGGGGCCUCAGCCUUUAUCUCCACUCUGCGGAGAUUCACGCCUGGAAAACGCUCUUCUGAGAGGAUCUGUGGAGGUCAACCCAGGAGAGAGAAGACAGGACUGAAGCACUGAAAGGGUCCUGCCGUUAAGGGCGCAGGAUUGUAUAGAAUAUAUAAUAGCAGUAGCAGCUCUGUUUACGGAGCAUUAACCUUACGUGGAGUUAUUUCCUGCAUUUCCUCCUUUCGUCUUUACAAGGUAGCCGUUUGGCGUCGUGAGGUAUGGAUGUUCCCAUCCCUAAUUUGCAAAAUAGGUAACUGAGGCUCAGGAGAGCUAGACUAGUUUGUGCACAGCCGAGAAGUGGUCAAGCUAGAAUGGGACCCCAGGUUUGUGCUCCCUACUCUCCACCGAUAACCUAUCAAAGGGCUUUGCAAGAGCUUUUGACUAAUCGUCUGUCAAUGGUUCUUCAUUCACGUAUUAAUUGCACAUCAGUAUGUGCCAAAUCUACUAGACAUUGGAGAAACAGUAGGAACAACACAUGGUACCGGCACAUGGAUCUUUCAGGAAAACGAAGUAGGUAAUAAACAGGAAAAAGCCCGAGUCUGAUGCUAAGAAGAACAUAAACAGGAUGCUGAGAGAUUGGGUCUCUCCACAUUGCCCCGGCUGCUCUCCAACCCCUGAGUUCAAGUGAUUCACCUCCCUUGGCCUCCCAAAGUACUGGGAUUACAGGCGUGAGCCACCGUGCCUGGCUGAGAAGAUGGAUUUAAGACAUAUUUUGGAGGUAACAUUGUCAGGACUUCCUGAAGGAUUAGAUGUGGAAGGGAAGGAUAAGAAACAGACCAAGGAUAACUUUCAAAUGUAUGCUUAAGCAACUGGAUGGAUAAUGAUGCCAUUGAGUGAGUGAAAAACUUGAUGGAAGUGGAAGAUUCAGAGUUCAUUUCUAUCUAGGUUAAUUUGAGACAUACCAGAGCAUAAGUUAAGUAAGUAAUUGAAUAUUGGAGUGGAGACUUAUUUGUCUACCGAAUUAUUGUUUUCUUUGUCGGACAUACACCUACACUGCAUUCCUCAAAGUAAAAUUUAAGUGUGGCUCUGUGCCUAUGCUCUCCCCAGCGGAAAGUGACCAGAAGAGGUGUGCAGUUUCCAGGCCUGGCCCAUACAGACCUCCAACAGGUGCUCCCCUGUGCUGUUACUCCUUCUGCCAACUGGAAGCAGAUGGUGACCAGGCUCUGGAGAAGGCAAGGCCUGAAGAUGGGAGAUUCCUAAGUGGAGGAGAACUGUGCCUUACUGACCUAAAUAUCCACUCAGUAUUGUUAUGUGAGAAUAAAUAAACUUGUGUUGACCGUUUACU
rnacentral:lncRNA from 10 species